rnacentral:lncRNA from 1 species
AGUACGUGUUCACCCUGAAGGAAAGACUGCCAUUUGAAAAUGCUCUGAAGAAUCAUUUUGCUACCCUCACAAGAAAGACAUCAGCACUGCAACCCAAGGAAAAGCAAACGCAGAGCAGGCGUCUGCCCAGGAGCCCUCACUGGGGGGGAUCCCCAGCAGCUAGAAACCAUUAGAGCCUCUACUCCAGCAGUCACUUUAUUAAUUGAUGUUGGUUUUCCUGUGCAUGAUGCACAGAUGGCACAAAAGUUGGGGAACAGUAAUUAUUGGAAUAAACCGACCAAAUUCAUUCUUGACUGAAUUUCAGAGCGUCCUUAUUUUUCUUGUAGCUUAUGGAAUGUAUCAAUAAUGUAUUAAUACAGCCAUCCAUAAAAUCCUGCUGUUUGCUUCCCAUAAAACAGCAGUGUAGUAAAGAGAACACUGAAGAUGUGGUGGUAUUAUUUUUAUCCGUCUCUAACAAUCUGUGCUGUAAGGAGCGUGUUCCAUCUUACUGUAAUUAUUCUAGAACAUGCACCUAUGCAUACAAUGGUGGUAUUGGUGCUACUUGCAUAUAUUACCUUAAGUGAUUAAUUAACCUUAAUUCCUUGUUUUUUGGAGUAUUGGCAAACUGCAUAAUAGCACUGGUAAUGUAGCACUUGAUCCCACUUCUGCUUAACUUAGUGUCCUCUAGUUUUUGAACAUUGCUGAAAGUGUAGAAAUACAAUUCCUAAUCAUUCACUUAGCAAGUAGACAUUUAAUUAAUAGUCUUUAUAUUUAUCAAUGUCACAAAUCGUGUAUUCCAUGUCAAAUACUCUUCUGUAUAAUAAUUUUGCAAAUUACAUGAAAAUUGUUGAAAAUUAAAAAUACAUCUGUUAAGGUGCUGCUUGAAAAUGAGCAAAAGAGAAAUCAGCUCCUCCUCCUUCAUUGGCUGAAACCUAGUUUAAUGUACUCACAUUGCUCUUUCAUUUUUAGUGGAGACAUGUCCUUCUGACAUCUUCAUGAGAAAUUGUGGAUGCAACUUCAUGGUGCCACAGGCAUUCAAGCAUUUUUACUUUAAAAACAUGACAAGUCCCCCAGUGGAAGACGAUGGCCGUGCUGUACUGAAGGCUCCCGCUGCAUUUCUAACCACAAGUGAAACUGCACAUGGGCUGGUGGCUGUUCUGCCUGCAGGUAUGUACAGAGCAGCUCUGAAAAAGCACAGCAUAUUUGCCAAGCUGAACCUGGUGACAGAGUAA